rnacentral:lncRNA from 1 species
GAGACAACAGCAGGGGUCAGCUGGGCCGCAGGGGCGCGCAGCGCGGGGAGCUGCCAGUGGUGGUUGGGGGGUGUUUUGUUUUGUUUCCCAAAGAACCAAUUCAGGCAUUGGAAACCCUAAUUGUUGAUCUCGUGAGCUGCGGGAAGGAGCACUCCCUGGCUGUGUGCCACAAAGGAAGGGUCUUCGCAUGGGGAGCUGGUUCUGAAGGGCAGCUGGGGAUUGGAGAAUUCAAGGAAAUAAGUUUCACACCUAAGAAAAUAAUGACUCUGAAUGAUAUAAAAAUAAUACAAGUUUCCUGUGGACACUACCACUCCCUGGCAUUAUCAAAAGAUAGCCAAGUGUUUUCGUGGGGAAAGAACAGCCAUGGGCAGCUGGGCUUGGGGAAGGAGUUCCCCUCCCAAGCCAGCCCGCAGAGGGUGAGGUCCCUGGAGGGGAUCCCACUGGCUCAGGUGGCUGCCGGAGGGGCUCACAGCUUUGCCCUGUCUCUCUGUGGGACUUCGUUUGGCUGGGGAAGUAACAGUGCCGGGCAGCUGGCCCUCAGUGGGCGUAAUGUCCCA